GGAGUAUGGGCCGUAUCUCAGUCCCAUCGCGGCUGGACAUCAUCUCAGACCAGCUACCUGUCAUAGGCUUGGUGAGCCGUUACCUCAACCAACUACCUGAUAGGACGCACCCCCCUCCUUAAGCGAUAAAUCUUUCCUCGCAUCGGCAUUUCACCAUCGUGAGCAUAUUGGGACUUAGCUACGUCUCCGUAGUUAUUCCCAACUUAAGGGCAGGUUAGGCACGCGUUACUCGCUCGUUUGCCACUAAUUCUACUAUGUAUUGCUACAACGCAGAAUCCGUUCGACUUGCAUGUGUUAGGCGUUCCGCUAGCGUUCAUC
rnacentral:rRNA from 1 species